GUGACAGACGGCGGCACCAUCAAGCAGAAGAUCUUCACCUUCGAUGCCAUGUUCUCCACCAACUACUCGCACAUGGAGAAUUACCGCAAGAGGGAAGACCUGGUCUACCAGUCGACGGUGCGGCUGCCGGAGGUCCGGAUCUCGGACAACGGCCCCUACGAAUGCCACCGGGGCCUCUGGGCCUAAGAGUGGAUCUAGGUCUAGAUCUAGGUGGGUAUGGGUCUGGGAGUGGGUGUAGGUCUAAGUGUAGGUUUGGGACUGGAUCUAGCUCUAAGUGUGGGUCUGGGUCUAGGUCUAGAUCUAAAUGUAGGUCUGGGUGUGGGUCUAGGUCUAAGUGUAGGACUGGGACUGGGUCUAGGUCUAAGUGUGGGUCUGGGAAUGGGUCUAGAUCUAGAUCCAAGUGGGUCUAGAUCUAAGCAUAGGUCUGGGACUGGGUCUGGGUCUAAGUGUGGGCCUAAGAGUGGAUCUAGGUCUAGAUCUAGGUGGGUAUGGGUCUGGGAGUGGGUGUAGGUCUAAGUGUAGGUUUGGGACUGGAUCUAGCUCUAAGUGUGGGUCUGGGUCUAGGUCUAGAUCUAAAUGUAGGUCUGGGUGUGGGUCUAGGUCUAAGUGUAGGACUGGGACUGGGUCUAGGUCUAAGUGUGGGUCUGGGAAUGGGUCUAGAUCUAGAUCCAAGUGGGUCUAGAUCUAAGCAUAGGUCUGGGACUGGGUCUGGGUCUAAGUGUGGGCCUAAGAGUGGAUCUAGGUCUAGAUCUAGGUGGGUAUGGGUCUGGGAGUGGGUGUAGGUCUAAGUGUAGGUUUGGGACUGGAUCUAGCUCUAAGUGUGGGUCUGGGUCUAGGUCUAGAUCUAAAUGUAGGUCUGGGUGUGGGUCUAGGUCUAAGUGUAGGACUGGGACUGGGUCUAGGUCUAAGUGUGGGUCUGGGUCUAGGUCUAGAUCUAAGUGCGGGUGCGGGUCUAGCUCUAGGUCUAAGUGUAGGUUUGGGACUGGGUCUAGGUCUAAGUGGGGGUCAGGGUCCAGGUCUAGGUCUAGAUGUAGGUCUAGGUGUGGGUCUAGGUCUAGGUCUAAGUGGGGGUCUGGGUCUAGGUUUAGGUCUAAGUGUAGGUCUAGGUGUGGGUCUAGGUCUAAGUCUAAGUGGGGGUCUGGGUCUAGGUUUAGGUCUAAGUGUAGGUCUAGGUGUGGGUCUAGGUCUAGAUCUAAGUGGGUCUGGGUCUGGGAGUGGGUCUAGGUCUAAGUGUAGGUCUGGGUCUAAGUGUAGGUCUGGGACUGGGUCUAGGUUUAAGUGGGGGUCUGGGUCUAGGUCUAAGUGUAGGACUGGGACUGGGUCUAGGUCUAAAUCUAAGUGGGUCUGGGUCUGGGUCUAGGUCUAAGUGGGGGUCUGGGUCUAGGUCUAAGUGUAGGACUGGGACUGGGUCUAGGUCUAAGUGUGGGUCUGGGAAUGGGUCUAGAUCUAGAUCCAAGUGGGUCUAGAUCUAAGCAUAGGUCUGGGACUGGGUCUGGGUCUAAGUGUGGGCCUAAGAGUGGAUCUAGGUCUAGAUCUAGGUGGGUAUGGGUCUGGGAGUGGGUGUAGGUCUAAGUGUAGGUUUGGGACUGGAUCUAGCUCUAAGUGUGGGUCUGGGUCUAGGUCUAGAUCUAAAUGUAGGUCUGGGUGUGGGUCUAGGUCUAAGUGUAGGACUGGGACUGGGUCUAGGUCUAAUUGUGGGUCUGGGAGUGGGUCUAGAUCUAGAUCUAAGUGGGUCUGGGUCUGGGAGUGGGUCUAGGUCUGGGACUGGGUCUAGGUCUGGGACUGGGACUGGGUCUAGGGCUGGGUCUAGGUCCAGAUCCAAGUGUAGGGCUGGGUCUGAGUCUGGGACUGGGUCUAGGUCUAGGUCUAAGGGUAGGGCUGGGUCAGGGCCUAGGUCUGGGUCUGGGAAGCGCAGGUCUGGUUUUGGAUCUGGGAGUGGGUCUAGGUCUGGGUCUGGGACUGGAUCUAGGUCUAAGUGUAGGUCUGGGACUGGAUCUAGGUCUAGAUCUGAGUGUAGGUCUGGGUCUAGGUCUGAGUCUGGGUCUGGGUCUAAGUGUGGGUCUGGGUAAGUAGAUUUGAGUUUAGGUCUAGGUCUAAGGUCUGGGUCUAAGUGUGGGCCUGGGAAAGCAGGGAGCUGGGGCUCCCGAGCCGAGAGGUGAUGUUUGGGGGUCCUGGUGUAGGUGUCUGGUGGGUUCUUGCCUUGGUUUUCUGCAAGCCAGAGGGGAGGUGGUGGCCCCUUGUUAGUGUUAUCUCCUUGAGGGUAUAACUUCGGUGGUGGUGUCAGUGUCCUGGACAGGCUCACAUCUUGGGUGGGGGGGGGCUUCACCCUGUAGAGAUGUCGCCUCCAACCAUCUACACCUGGUCCCAGGAGACCCAGGCCACGCCCAGAGCCUCCCUUGGGGGAAAUGAGGCCAGAGAUGCCCCACAUAGGCUUGCUGGCCAUCACUGCCCAACUCACCCCCACCUGGGGGUGGCCAGCAAACAGGGCAGUUAGCAAGGCAGUUCGCAUGGGCAGAGAGCAGGGCCAGGGCCCCUCAUUCUGCCCCACCAACCUCCACCCUGGGCUGGGCAACUCUACCGCAACAGUCCCCAGGUAAGGCUGGGCUCUCCACCAGGGCAGGCUGCUCCAGCCUUCCUCCCCUGGAGACCAGAGGGGGAGAAGAUGGUGUCUUGACCAGGGCACUCGGCUGCAUCGUCUUCACCGGGAGAGCUCCAGCCACCUUCAGCGUGGCCUCCAAUGUGCACAAGUGUUUCGACAUGCUCAGCACCUAGAGCCCCUCCUUGGGCUGCCUUGCAUGCUGGAGGCUUCCCAAGGACCUCUCCCAACCCAUACCAAACUGGAAAAUAAACCAAGUCCUGCAUUUUGGCCCCCUGCA
rnacentral:lncRNA from 1 species